rnacentral:rRNA from 1 species
CUACGGGCCGCACCAGUAGGGAAUAUUGGACAAUGGGCGAAAGCCUGAUCCAGCAACACCGCGUGCACGAUGACGGCCUUCGGGUUGUAAAGUGCUUUUAGAGGAGAUGAGAAAGGACAGUAUCCUCUGAAUAAGCCUCGGCGAACUACGUGCCAGCAGCCGCGGUAAAACGUAGGAGGCAAGCGUUAUCCGGAUUUAUUGGGCGUAAAGCGCGUGCAGGCGGUCUAGCAAGUUGGAUGUGAAAGCUCCCGGCUCAACUGGGAGAGGUCGUUCAAUACUGUUAGACUAGAGAAUAGGAGAGGGGGGUGGAAUUCCGGGUGUAGUGGUGAAAUGCGUAGAUAUCCGGAGGAACACCAGUGGCGAAAGCGGCCUCCUGGACUAUUUCUGACGCUAAGACGCGAAAGCUAGGGUAGCAAACGGGAUUAGAUACCCCGGUAGUC